UAGUUUUAGCCUUAUCAUAAUUAUUGUUGAUGGGGAGGGCCUCUACUAUAUCGGAGAGGUUCAUGGGUCGGCCAUGGCUAUGGAUGAUAUCUGGAAUUUCAAGUUGAAUUGCACAUUUAAGUGACAUGGAGUUGAUGUAGUUGAAUAUAUGGUUCCAUAUGUGUGCCUGAGCAGCCAGAACUUGUCUAGUUUCGUCUCCAAUAUCAUUAUUAGGCAAUGCCAUUUUUGUGAUACUUAUUAAUUUCUUUGAGAUGCUAAGGAUUUACAUAUACAUAUUUAUUAUUUACUCCUAUAAGAAAAACAAGAGGACCAAUCCAUCCUGUGUCCUGCUUCAUCGUACAGCCUACCAACGUGAACUUGUCUGUACUAUGUGGAAGGAUUAUGUUAAAGACUAGUACACUACAAUUUAUGUUCUAAUUUUUUUUAUUGAAUUAAAGUUUGAUGAAAUAGUUACUUAAGUGGAGAACAAAUAACUUUGUAAUAAUUUAUUAUGCGAUUUUAUAAAGUUUUGUUUAUUUGGCAAGAUUGAAUAAACAAUUAGGGCUACUUUAAUAGUUUUACAACUUAUGAAAUUCUUAUGUUUAUGAGAAAAUAUACAACACAAAAAUUUCAUAUCGCAUGUCCAAACAAAAUUUUAAUUUCAUCUCAUAGUUCCAUAAUAUGAUAUCAUAUCACAUGACCAAACUGGCGCUUAGUAUAUCUAAUCUUCCUAAUUUUACAUGAUUAAAGAAGAAUUUAAUUUGCAUACACUCUGCAUUAGGAAUUUAGGAUCAUUAAUAAAAGGAAAAUAAAUAAAUAUACAAGAGGCCGGUUCCUUUGUUAACACAUAGGGAGAUGAAGAAUAAGAUUUCCAAAAUAAUGCACAAACCAAAUAGUACAAAACCAAAUCGAAAAACCGAAUGCACAGCCCUAGUUGUAAUCACGUGAGGAGUAAGGAUCGUAAACAUAACACAAAAGGGCCCUUUAUUAACACAUGGAAAUUAAAUGACAAAUAAAAUAUGCAUCAUGAUCAUUCACUGAAGGGGAAUGUUUUAUUAAUUUGUCGAAUUAAGAGUGUAGAUUAAGGGUAAACCUCAAUAACACACCUUAAUCCUAAGAUAGGAAUAAUCUUGUAGUCACUAUAACCAGCAUCAAAAAAGAGUUUUGCCCAUUCUUGUUGGCUUCUUUCUUUUCCACUUAGUAGAAUCAUCAUCAGUAUAUCAAUUAAGAGUUGAGUUUCAUAUGACUUAUCGUCGUCUUUGUUUUGAUCCAUCACUAUUUCAAUUAGGAUUACCUUUCCUCCAUUCUCCUUACUUGGAAUUGCUUCUUUACAUUUCUUCAAUAUUUUUAUACAAUCUCCGUCGCUCCAAUCAUGUAAUAUCCACUAUUUGCCAUAUAAAUCAAACAUAAACAAUUAAUACAUGUAGUAUAGUUAUACAUCAAAUUGACAAAAAGUGUGUGUGUGUGUGUGUGUUACAAAGCUAUACCUUAAGUAAAAUUGCGUUGGCAGAAGGAAUGGAGUUAAACAUGUCUCCUCCCACAAAGCUUAGGUUCUUGCUUCCUUUUAGCCCUUCAAUUACAUGAGGGAGUUCAAAGACAGUGCAAUUUAUUUGUGGAAAUGUAUCCGCAAUAGCUUUAGCUAUGGUUCCAGUGCCCCCUCCAACGUCCACCAACGAUUUCAACCCUUCAAAAAUUAAUCCCUUACCAUUUUGAAUCAACACGGUCAUGACCAAACGGGUAUCACUAGCCAUGGCUUCGUUAAAUAAAUGGUUAAGUCUUGGUUCAUUCUCUGCAUAUUUGAAAAAUGGCAUGCCAUGAGCGGUUGCAUAUGGAGUAGUAUUAGAGUCGUCACUGACGUUGUUGAACCAUUUGCUGAGUGAAUGCCAUGGAUCCAUCAAAUUUGGAUCUAGUUGGAAAUUCAAAAAAGGGAUCAUGCUCAUAGGCUCAUCUUUGAGGAGGAGACGUGAGGUCGGAGUAAGUAAAUAGCCCUCUUCAGCUUCUUGAAUAAAGAAGCCAGCAUGAACUAGAAUACGCAUGAGACGGUAAACACAAUCAUGAGUUUUAGCCUUAUCAUGAUUAUUGUUGAUGGGGAGGGCCUCUGCUAAAUCGGAGAGGUUCAUGGGUCGGCCAUGGCUAUGGAUGAUAUCUGGAAUUUCAAGUUGAAUUGCACAUUUUAGUGACAUGGAGUUGAUGUAGUUGAAUAUAUGGUUCCAUAUGUGUGCCUGAGCAGCCAGAACUUGUCUAGUUUCGUCUCCAAUAUCAUUAUUAGGCAAUGCCAUUUUUGUGAUACUUAUAAUUUCUUUGAG
rnacentral:lncRNA from 1 species